GUAACAUUUUUCAGAUUUUGAUGAAAGUCUCUGGAGACUUUUUGCAAAAAUCUGACUCUGGUGCAGUAAUUGAUGAGAAUGAAUUUGAGUUUGCUGAGUACAUAUGUGAGAGCAUGGUUGCUUUGGGUUCUUCAAACUUGCAAUGUAUUGCUGCUGAUAAUUCAGUUCUAUCAUAUUACCUUCAACAGAUGCUCGGAUUUUUCAAGCACCAUAAGCUUGCUCUCCAUUAUCAAUCUCUUCUGUUUUGGCUGACGCUUAUGAGAGAUUUGUUGUCAAAGCCAAAGAUUAUUGGGUCUGGGGAAAACUCAGCUAGUAAUCUUGCAGUGGGAUCAGGACAGGAUACAGAGAAAAACAAAAUAUUGGCUUUUGUAAAUGAUGAUAUCUGCAGUUCUAUAUUGGAUGUAUCUUUCCAGCGAUUACUGAAGAAGGAAAAAAUUAAUCCUGGAACAUCGCUUUCUGUUGGGACAUUAGAGUUGUGGAGUGAUGAUUUUGAGGGUAAAGGAGAUUUUGGCCAGUACCGUUCGAGGCUGUUAGAGUUGAUCCGUUUUGUUGCAGCCGCCAAGCCUAUGGUAGCUGCUGCUAAAGUUUGUGAGAGGAGCAUGACUAUUAUUAAGAGUCUCUUCCUUGCACCUUAUCCUGCUCAGGAAUUGGUUAUACUUGAGAGCAUGCAGUUAGCUUUAGAAAAUGUUGUAAAUUCAG
rnacentral:misc_RNA from 1 species